rnacentral:rRNA from 1 species
CCUACGGGAGGCAGCAGUGAGGAAUCUUGGUCAAUGGACGAGAGUCUGAACCAGCCAAGUCGCGUGAAGGAUGACUGCCCUAUGGGUUGUAAACUUCUUUUAUAAAGGAAUAAAACGAGGCACGUGUGCCUUUUUGCAUGUACUUUAUGAAUAAGAAUCGGCUAACUCCGUGCCAGCCGCCGCGGUAAUACGGAGGAUCCGAGCGUUAUCCGGAUUUAUUGGGUUUAAAGGUAGCGUAGAUGGGUUGUUAAGUCAGUUGUGAAAGCUUGCGGCUCAACCGUAAAAUUGCAAUUGAUACUGGCAGUCUUGAGUACAGUUGAGGUAAGCGGAAUUCGUGGUGUAGCGGUGAAAUGCUUAGAUAUCACGAAGAACCCCGAUUGCGAAGGCAGCUUACUAAACUGUGACUGACAUUGAUGCUCGAAAGUGUGGGUAUCAAACAGGAUUAGAUACCCUGGUAGUC